CAGUAGCCGCGGGAAUACAGAGGAUGCAAGCGUUAUCCGGAAUGAUUGGGCGUAAAGCGUCUGUAGGUGGCUUUUCAAGUCCGCCGUCAAAUCCCAGGGCUCAACCCUGGACAGGCGGUGGAAACUACCAAGCUGGAGUACGGUUGGGGCAGAGGGAAUUUCCGGUGGAGCGAUGAAAUGCGUUGAGAUCGGAAAGAACACCAACGGCGAAAGCACUCUGCUGGGCCGACACUGACACUGAGAGACGAAAGCUAGGGGGGCAAAUGGGAUUAGAUACCCCAGUAGUCCCUGUCUCUUAUAC
rnacentral:rRNA from 1 species